UACGGAGGGUGCAAGCGUUAUCCGGAUUCACUGGGUUUAAAGGGAGCGCAGGCGGAUUGGUAAGUCAGUGGUGAAAUACCUGAGCUUAACUCGGGAACUGCCAUUGAUACUACCGGUCUUGAAUAUUGUUGAGGUAUGCGGAAUGGGUCAUGUAGCGGUGAAAUGCAUAGAUAUGACCCGGAACACCAAUUGCGAAGGCAGCAUGCUAAACAAAGAUUGACGCUGAGGCUCGAAAGCGUGGGGAUCAAACAGG
rnacentral:rRNA from 1 species